rnacentral:rRNA from 1 species
UUAGAUACCCUAUUAUUCCCAAACCAAAAUCAACCUAAAGGAAUAACUGCUAUAAGCACUAAACCUAAAGGAUUUGGCGGUGUUUUACCAAACCAGAGGAACCCGUUCUAUAAUCGUCAAAACACGAAAAAUCUUACCAAAAGGAAAGCCCAUAUACCGUCAUUUAAAUUACGCCGACAAGCUACAUUAAAAAAAGAAAAACUAAAAAAUUAGAUAAGGUGUGGCAUCUUUAGGAAAGAAUAGGUUACAUUUUAUAAGUAAGUGGAAUCUUUAUGAAAAAAAGAAGAAAAAGGAUUUGUCAGUAAUU